GGGGGCAUGGCGGAAUGGUAGACGCUACGGACUUAAAAUCCGUUGACUGCAAAGUCGUGAGGGUUCAAGUCCCUCUGCCCCCA
rnacentral:tRNA from 1 species